rnacentral:rRNA from 1 species
GAGCUAAUACCGGAUAAUAUAUUGAACCGCAUGGUUCAAUAGUGAAAGACGGUUUUGCUGUCACUUAUAGAUGGAUCCGCGCCGCAUUAGCUAGUUGGUAAGGUAACGGCUUACCAAGGCAACGAUGCGUAGCCGACCUGAGAGGGUGAUCGGCCACACUGGAACUGAGACACGGUCCAGACUCCUACGGGAGGCAGCAGUAGGGAAUCUUCCGCAAUGGGCGAAAGCCUGACGGAGCAACGCCGCGUGAGUGAUGAAGGUCUUCGGAUCGUAAAACUCUGUUAUUAGGGAAGAACAAAUGUGUAAGUAACUAUGCACGUCUUGACGGUACCUAAUCAGAAAGCCACGGCUAACUACGUGCCAGCAGCCGCGGUAAUACGUAGGUGGCAAGCGUUAUCCGGAAUUAUUGGGCGUAAAGCGCGCGUAGGCGGUUUUUUAAGUCUGAUGUGAAAGCCCACGGCUCAACCGUGGAGGGUCAUUGGAAACUGGAAAACUUGAGUGCAGAAGAGGAAAGUGGAAUUCCAUGUGUAGCGGUGAAAUGCGCAGAGAUAUGGAGGAACACCAGUGGCGAAGGCGACUUUCUGGUCUGUAACUGACGCUGAUGUGCGAAAGCGUGGGGAUCAAACAGGAUUAGAUACCCUGGUAGUCCACGCCGUAAACGAUGAGUGCUAAGUGUUAGGGGGUUUCCGCCCCUUAGUGCUGCAGCUAACGCA